GUGAGAGAGAGAGGGAGAGGAAGAGAGAGUUAAAAUUAUCYUCCUAGCGCAAAUCCUUUUCAAUCUGAUCAGUGUUUGGGGAUGGACUAACCAGCUUGGGACUGUAGCUUGUGAUCAGGUUGGAAUCAACCCAAGAUGAUGAAUCCUGAAGAUGGGACAAAGUGACAAGGUGGCCUAGAGGAAGCCAGCUGUUUUCAACCCCUACCUUGCCCCAUUCUUCCAAGAGCUCACUGAGUUUGAAUGAAGACCUCUAGUGAGGGGUGAGAAGAGCUGACGAAUCAGAACUGAGGAUGAUUGUUACGGAGCCCCAUGAGGAACACCUGAUGCUGCGCUGACUUCUCUCUCCUAGCUGCUCUCCAGUCCAAACUGUCCCGUUGUGYGUUUCAGCGCCUCUAAACCCCCUUACCCCGAAUAGUUGCCCUGAUGACCAUGGAUCUAGGAUUGUACCCAAUCUCCAUCUUGGGUACAAUUAACUUCAUCUUCCUCUCUCUCUUUGUCUCACUCUCUCCACCACACAAUAUAGUUUUUA